UCUAAGAUGUAGGACAGUGAGCCUUGAGGACCAGGGUUGGGAAACACUCCUCUAGAUGCCCAACAACCAGGUAGAGUAAUGUAGCAAUAGCCUCUUCAACCCCUUUCCUUGCCUGAUGAGCAAAUUGAAAGAGCUCCAUUUUACUCUGCACCGUCUGCAAUAUUUCCCUCUUCACUAUCUGUUCGAAUGAUUUCAUCACUGAGGAUGACUUUUUCCAGUAACACUCAAAGAUGAAUGUGAAAGUACCACACAAGAAGAAAGAACAGUGCUUAGCUGUAUCCUCCACAGCUAUGAUUGCAGCGACCAUUGUUGAAGGGCAUUUUGAAAGAGUUCAUUAUAAAGUAUCAACUGGCACUCGGCUCCAACAUCUGACAUAUCGCAGAUAUUGAGGCGCUUCUUCCUCUACCUUCCUGCUCCCUUUGUCCGUUGAAAUCGUCAUCAAGAGAAAAGAUCUAUUUAAGCAGUAGUUCAGUCAACAGAUCUGCACCUCUAUGUGUUCCGACUGACCAGCAUCAUUGGAAGAAAACCAGGUUGAUUGAAGGCACCUAGAAAGGCCGUGAUCCACGUCAGGUCAAGGCCAAUCUACCUCAUCUCUGUAAAUUAAAACUGUCGUCUUGAACAACUGAAGGAUGAUUUCAAUUAAAUUGUGCAGUGUAAGAUCCCCA